ensembl:snoRNA
UCCUUCUUGUAUAAGCACUGUGCUAAAAUUACAAAAAUUAGGAGCCUAUCUUGGUUUUUGUAAUAGUGCUAGCAGAGUACACACAGGAAGAAGAGUAACUGCACCAGAUCCCAAAGACUGGGGUGGGCCUCUUUCUUAAUGUCCAGUGUCCUGUGUCUUAAGAUUUGGUGCAAUAUUG